CUGAGCAUAUGUAUCUCUCUUAUAUGAAAAUGCUAGAUUACCAUUAUGUUCCUGAAGAGAAUCCAGUCUUUCUGAAUGACAAGAUGUCAAAGAUUGAUAAAGAUGCGGUGGUAAGAUUCAUUGUUAUUGGAACAAAGUGGCUUGAUUCAGAAAGGGAGUUUCAGGCAUUGGUUAGUUUGGAGGGCGAUUAUCUUGGCCCAGUGUCCUAGAGGCCUGCGUUGUACUUUCCUGGAGAUACAUGUAAAUCUUUGUAACUUCUACAGUUGAACUUAGCUUAAGUGGAGGCA
rnacentral:misc_RNA from 1 species